rnacentral:lncRNA from 1 species
GGCAGUCCGAGAGCUGGCAGCCGCCACGCUCACCCACGUGCAGGGCUGCAGUGCUGUGGAUGGGCUGGGCCUGCAGCCGGGACUAGAGCAUUUGUAUGAGAUGAUCCUGAAGAGGAAGAAGGCACCCCGGUCGAGCAAGAAGAGACGGUGACCCGCGGCUGCCCCUACCCUACGUGCUAGGGCCCUAUCUAGAGGAGCCAGAAUCCUGAGGCAACGGACAAAGGAGAAGCAGAGAACAUUCUUUCUGGGCAGGAGGUUGCUGUUUUACGUCUGAGAUUAAAUCAAGAAGUUUCAGU